UCCUGAGUAGCCAAGACCACAGGUACACACCACCACACCCAGAUUCAUUCUUCAAAAGUGUCAAGGUCGUGAAAGAAAAGUCAUGACUAUAGGAACAGUUACAGACUGCAGGUAACUGUGCAGAAACUGCAAAUAAAUGCAAUAUGGCAUCCUGGAAAAACUGGUGAAAUUUAGGAAGGUCUUUAGUUAAUGGUUUUAUGCUAGUGUUGAUUUCCUGGUUCUGAUCCUUGUACUGUCUCUAUGUAAGACAUUAACCUUAGAGGAAGCUGGGUAAGUUAUACAUCUAUGGAAGAUCCCCAUACUGAUUCUAUUACUUUUCUGUGAGACCAAAACUACUUGAAAAUAAAAAGGGAAACAACUGUCAAAUACUAGGAUUAAAUCUGACAAAGAUGCACACAAGAUCUCUAUACACAUGAGCGAACACACACACACACACACACACCCCCCAUAAAACAUGUUUGAAAAGCACUAAGACAAAACAAAAAACAAAAGGAGAGAGAUACCACAUUCAUAGAUUGAGUGGCCACUGCUAUAGAGGUGACACUCAGCACAUUGAGCUAUAGGUUUGAAGGUCACCCAGCAGCGCUGUUUUGCUUUGUUUGUAUGAAAAUUGACCAAGUGAUUCUGGAAUGUAUCUGCGAAAGAGCCAAGAAUGGCAAAUAAUCCAAAGAAGAAUUUGGUGAGAGGACUUGCUCUUCUUGAUAUUAGGACCUCAUGUCGGUGAAGACAGUGCGAUGUUCUCACACGGAGACCAGCGGCCGUGGGUUCAGAAACAGCCCCCAGGCAUGUGGGCGCUUCCUGGCGAGGGGGCCUACAGAGCCGUGGGGAAGAAUGGAGAUUUCAGUCAGUGGUGGGGUCCAAUCAGAAACCUGUAUGAGGAGAGAGAGGACAGGUGUCUGCUACUUUACUGCAUUCACAACAGGCAGUUCCAGAUGGACUGGUGAGCGCACGGGAAGGCAAAACCAUAAAGCCUGUAGAAGAUCACAUGGGAGAACAGCUUCAGGAACUUGGAGCUGGAAAGAUUUAUUUCAGAGACCACUACAAAAAAUACCCAAAAGAAAACCCGUUAAAAUCGGUGGAAUCCUCUGCUGCGGAGUCCUUCCGGCGGGCCCUCCAUAGAAGUGCAUGUUUCCUGUCUCUGUUCUCUUACUGCUGAGAGUAUCAGAGGAGUGUAGAACUUUAAACAACGGCACGGUCCUUGAAGGAGAAUCAUCCUUCUAUUCCCAGAUCAGCUAAAUAUUUUUAAAUUCCCAAAUCAAAGCUUGAGGGACUUUUUGUGACUCUGUUGAAAUGAAUUAUCAUAUCUUGUAUAACAAAAAAUUACCAGUUUAAGUCCCCACUGUAUUCAUAUAUUAAAAGAGGGAUAACCACUCUGCCUCUA